rnacentral:lncRNA from 1 species
CUGCCCUCUGGGUUCCCAUGGGUUUUGGCCAGUGUUGUCAGACAGCCGGUCGUCAGGGGGCGGGGAAGAGACCUGCUCCCUCCUCUGCCCCCCAGGCCUGAGGUCACGCUGCUACUGUUGGACUUCCUUAUCUUUCUUUCCCUUCGUUGCUGGGUCUGCAGCCCUGCCGCACCUCCGUAAAUGGCUCCUGGCACCCUUCCUCCCUCCCUCUCCUCCCUGCCGGGCCAUCUCUUUCCCGCCAGACCUCUGACUCAUCUAGAUGGGCUUGGAGAUUGUGCCAGGCCCUGGCUGACGCUUCAAGGCCUGGAUGGGUGCCGUCGCUUCUCUGGACAGCAGCUCAAAGGGGAGGCAGGAAGGAGGCAGACCAGGGACACCUGGGCCAUCCUCCUUGUGGCCAGCUAAGCCACCUGUCCUGCUCCUUGUUCCAGCAACAUCUGCCUCGGGGGGCUCGGCUGAGAAACCUCCCCAGCUGACUGGGUCCAGCUUCGGGGGACCUCUCCAAGGGGGCCCGAGGAUUUACUCUAUGAGCGAGAUGACGAGUCUGAUGGUGAUGACGAGGGCCUGGCUCUGCGUGGACAGGGAGGCCGGGCCGUGGGCCGUGAGUCCCAAUAAGGCCUGGUGACUGCUCGCCCUGCCACAGCCCUGCAGACAGCAGCCUUGCUGGCAGAACCCCCAGGGAGCUGAGAGGGAGGCGGGAAUCUAUUUCUCCAGAAAAGCCUCCUGAGAAGGAUGGAGACUGAGCCCCAGACCCUCAUUCCCCCAGGAAGGACCCCACACAGGCUCAGC